UUUUUUUUUUUUUAUAAAAAGAUCAAUGAAAAAUUUAUUUAUAAAUUUCGCACUCUGGGGCUACACGUCUCUAUCAUACACUCAGGAAUAUGCUGUACUGUACAGACUUUAUCCAGUUAGAAAUGAUCAUAUAGUGACCCACAUACAGCUUCAAUAUAAGCCUAAAAAUCCUUAACAUUAAUUAACAUAAUUAAAAAAGGUAUUCGCAUCUAAAGAAAACUCUACAGAAAAACUCCUUUCUGGAGCAAUCUGUGCAUCAGCUUCAAUGUCUGCUUAUUCCACUGACAUUAGCAAUAUAUUCUUCUUACAAAAAUAAUAAUAAGACGACUGCUGGAAGGCACCAGUCAUGCCCGAAGGAGCCUCCCCCACCUGCCUCUUUCCUUGCUUUUCCUUGUACUCCCCGUUUUGGCGUGAAGGGUCAGCAGCACGAUGAGCCAACAAGGGGGGCGGGGGGGGGACCCUCAUUUCAAUUUGAAUCAAUCUGCAUCCCUUUUAUUUCUCAGGAUCAAGAGAGACGAGGGGGGGGUGGGGGUUGCAUAGAAAAUUGAAACUCCAGGGACUAGGAAGGGCAGCAGCUUUUCAGUAAAAUACAACAGGGAUGUAAAAAUACAUCAACUCACAAUUUCAGAGCAAACCCCCGUCCCCGACAUACAGACUCCCCAAAUCUCAGCGUGUCCAAAGCUCCAGGAGGCUGGAAAGGAACAAUACUUUUCUUCAACAACUCACCCAGCAAUUCACACAGGAGAUUCACAGUCUCAAUAGGUAUUUUAUAAAAAUAUAAAUAUGGGUUACAUCAUGUUGUCUUUACAACACUGGACAGAGCUCCCUUUAGACUGGGUUUAUAACCAAGGCUUCUUUUUAAACACUCCAUCUAGAACUUGGCUUUACAAUACACUUUUUAAUACCAUGUCAUAAAUGUUAUGACAUUUCCUUGUGGCAAAUCCAUUUAGUCAAAAUAAAAACAAAAAAUAAUAUAAAUGUGCAACCAUCUGGUAUCGACGACAAAACCUCGCUAGAAAAGAUCUUGUUCCCACCCCGUCACUGUCGCACAGAAGCACCAGUGGAGGUGCUGGACACCCCCUUCCAUGCUCACAGAGAAGACUUGGGCCAAGCAGUUCCUUGGGAAUGGCAGCAUCGGCAGCAGGCGCUUGCGACGGGGCUGCUUCUCUUCUGCUUCUUGAAAUCUGGAGCUUUUAAAAGAAUCAUCUCAAAGAGUUGAAGUGGAGAAAAACCAAACUGCAGGUGAACUCAUCGGAGACAAAGCAGGAUAUUCAGUGCAAUGGGAAAUCAUCAUGGCAGACUCAAGUGUUUUAGUUUUAAGACUAGAACAACAACAACAAGAAGAAGGCGUAUUUCCCAAACCGUAUUUCUGAAACACUCACCACCAGCUUCCAACAAAACCAGGCUCACAAUCUUCACCCACAAAUAUAUACAGACAUGAUAAAUAGUUAAGACACAACCCAAAUAAACCAGCAGGUAACUAUUUGCCUUUUUUAAUGGGAAUGGUUGGGAUGCAGGGAGCGAGAGAGGGAGGAGCGGGGAGGUGGCAGUGAGACGGAUGGCUUUAGUGCAGAUGGACAGGGCUGAAGGACCAGCGGGAGAGAGGAGACUUCGGAAAUCUUCCGCAUUUUCCAAAUGGAUGUUCUUGUGCCAUAGCAAUAAAAAGCAGCAUUUGCGAUUAUACGUGCAGUCACUUCCGAAUGCGACUUCGGGUGGCUUUCUCUUCUUCCUCCCUUUCUUUUAUAAAUAUAUAUGGAGAUAUAUAUCAUAUAAAAGACGGGUGACUCUCUACAGACAUCAAAGGAGUCGUUCUGCAUUGAGAAGUGUUAUCCAAGUUUCACCAAAAAAUAAUAAAAUUCCCAAACUAUUCUCAGUAGUUUUCCGGCAUCUCUCCAGGCAGCAGAGAGCGCUCGCGGCCCUUCCUGUGCAAAAGCAGCUCCUCUGCCUCCAGAGUUUAUUCACUUCUUUAAAAGAAACACAAAAACACAAGUCCAGGAUUUGCUAAUCCUCCUUUACUCACAAAACCAGAAGGAUUCAAUGUCUUUUCCUGGGAUCUCACGUGUGCUAAACGGAUUCAAGGAGUGGGUGAGGACACAGAUUCUCUUCGGACACCCAUAAAAAAAACAAACCAAAACAAAAAGAACCAAAGGAGAAAACCCAACGCAAAAUACAACAAAACAAGAAGCAGUUGGGGUGAGAAAACCGUGUCGAUCGUAUUCCAAUGGAGUCGCCUUGGGGAUAGACAAAAAUCAGUGGUGGGAAAACACUGGGAGCUUGCAGGAGGAGGGUUUUCCCACUCUUCCACCCCGGGAAGGGCCGCCGGGAACCCCCAGCCCAUGACGGGGCCUCGGGGGGACCGGGCACCCGGGGAGGGUGGGGGGGACUUUGGGGAGCGUUGAAAUGAAUUCGCUUCUGAGCCAGAUACUUCAGGUCGGCGGGAUGAGACCAAGGGGAGCGGGGAGGGAGGAUUAAAUAUUAGCGGGGAGGGGACGGGGGGGAGCCCUUAAAGCAUCUGCCCAGAUGUCAAACUGAAACCGUGAAUACUGUGAGUGCAGCCGAGGUAGAUGGAGGAGAAAAAAAACGUAUUACAGUAGGAAAACAACCCUUGGAAGGAAAAAACAACGAAACAACUUUCGAAGCAGGCGAACGGCGGCGCUUUGCGGGGGGGGGCCCGGGUCUUCGCCAAAUAAACCCCGCGCGGGGCCGGGAGCAGCUUUGGCGGCCGGGGGAGAGGGGAGGGGGCGGCCCCGGCAUCACCGGGCACCGGCGGAGUAUUUGGCCUUGGUGAUCAGGUAGAGGACGAUGUCCUGGUGGCCCCCGAAGGCGGCGAUGUGCAGCGCGCUCCAGCCGUCCCGGUUGGCCAGGCGAAUGUCGGCACCGAACUUGACGAGGAGCUUGACGAGCUCCAGGUUGCCGUCGAUGACGGACUGGUGCAGCGCCGUCUGCCCCUCGGGCCCGAAGGAGUUGACGUUGAAUUCGCAGUUCGUCAUGUUCUGCAGCAGCGACUGCAGCUCCUUCGUGUUCCCGCGCCGCACCGCCUCCUGGAACACGCGCUGGCUCGGCGGCGGCGCCGCGCACGGGGACACCUCGCUCUGGCUCAUGCCGCCGCCUCCCGCCCGCCGCCCCGCAGGGACAGCGCCGCCUCCGCCCGCGCGGGCAUGCGGUGGGGCUGAGGCGGGGCUGCGGUGCUGCUGCGGGCGCUGCUGCUGCUGCUGCUGCUGCUGCUGGUGGUGGUGGUGGUGGUGCCGGCGCGCAGCGCUGGGGCCCCGCCGCUGCUCACCGGCUGCUCCCGUCCCGUCCCGCCGCGCCCGCACCCGCUGCCGCCGCCGGC
ensembl:lncRNA